CCAGAAUUUCUCAAUGGAACACCUCAACGGAGGCGGUUCUGUGUGAAGACCUUCCAAGAGGCACAUUCAUUCCCCACCUGGAGGACACUUGGCAUAAGGUCCAUCUCUGGGGGCCUUUCUUUCCACACUGAGAGUCCCAUCCAGCACAGUCAUGAUCAGUUCCCUCCCACGCCUACCACGGAGACAGACAUCCCCCUUGCAAUUCAGACACGCAGCCAGGACAACCCAGAAGCACCCGUAUUUGCUGGCACAACCAAUACAGGUAAAAUGCAAAGAGAGAGAAAAAAAAAAAAACCGGGGAUCAAAAUUGCUUCAACAAAGGCAACGGGAUGUUCUUGAGAGCUGCUCACUUAAUUCUCCACAGAAGACCUUUCCUGCUAGAGCCCAGAUCAGGAGUCUCAGGGAGAAGAGUCUCCCUUGGAAGACGCAGCCUCCUGCUAGGGGGUGGGACCCAGGACACCAGUGUUGGAGGGAAACCGAGAACAGCCCAGGGGUCAGUAUCUCCUAAAUACUACAAAUAACAACAAAUCCAAUUCUUCACACUUUAGGGUGAAGAAUUAAAACUGCCAACGUUUGUGCUUUCUGCAAAAAAAUAAUAAAUAAAUAAAUAAAUAAAUGGCUGGUAAGAGGAAGCAGAAUGAAAGCCAGGGUCAGUGCGUUUGAGAAAACGGUAUUAUCUUCUAUAUUACAUCAGCACACUCCUGCCGCCAUAGGGAUGGGGUUCCACGGACUCGCCUGCCUAGUACCCUGUCAAUCAAAACCAAAGCUAAAUAAAAGAGCUGGAAGUGGAA